UACGUGGGCAGCGAGCGUUGUUCGGAGUUACUGGGCGUAAAGGGUGUGUAGGCGGCUUUUUAAGCCAGACGUGAAAUCCCCGGGCUUAACCUGGGAAUGGCGUUUGGGACUGGGAGUCUGGAGUGCGGCAGAGGAGACUGGAAUUCCUGGUGUAGCAGUGAAAUGCGUAGAUAUCAGGAGGAACACCGAUGGCGAAGGCAGGUCUCUGGGCUGACACUGACGCUCAUGCACGAAAGCGUGGGGAGCAAACAGG
rnacentral:rRNA from 1 species